GAUGAACGCUGGCGGCGUGCCUAAUACAUGCAAGUCGAGCGAACAGAUGAGGAGCUUGCUCCUCUGACGUUAGCGGCGGACGGGUGAGUAACACGUGGAUAACCUACUAUAAGACUGGGAUAACUUCGGGAAACCGGAGCUAAUACCGGAUAAUAUAUUGAACCGCAUGGUUCAAUAGUGAAAGACGGUUUUGCUGUCACUUAUAGAUGGAUCCGCGCCGCAUUAGCUAGUUGGUAAGGUAACGGCUUACCAAGGCAACGAUGCGUAGCCGACCUGAGAGGGUGAUCGGCCACACUGGAACUGAGACACGGUCCAGACUCCUACGGGAGGCAGCAGUAGGGAAUCUUCCGCAAUGGGCGAAAGCCUGACGGAGCAACGCCGCGUGAGUGAUGAAGGUCUUCGGAUCGUAAAACUCUGUUAUUAGGGAAGAACAAAUGUGUAAGUAACUAUGCACGUCUUGACGGUACCUAAUCAGAAAGCCACGGCUAACUACGUG
rnacentral:rRNA from 1 species